rnacentral:rRNA from 1 species
CCUACGGGAGGCUGCAGUGAGGAAUAUUGGUCAAUGGCCGCAGGGCUGAACCAGCCAAGUCGCGUGAGGGAUGACGGUCCUAUGGAUUGUAAACCUCUUUUGUCAGGGAGCAAAGGGCGCCACGUGUGGCGCUUUGCGAGUACCUGAAGAAAAAGCAUCGGCUAACUCCGUGCCAGCAGCCGCGGUAAUACGGAGGAUGCGAGCGUUAUCCGGAUUUAUUGGGUUUAAAGGGUGCGCAGGCGGAAUGUCAAGUCAGCGGUAAAAUUUCGGGGCUCAACCCCGUCGUGCCGUUGAAACUGGCGUUCUUGAGUGAGCGAGAAGUAUGCGGAAUGCGUGGUGGAGCGGUGAAAUGCAUAGAUAUCACGCAGAACUCCGAUUGCGAAGGCAGCAUACCGGCGCUCAACUGACGCUCAUGCACGAAAGCGUGGGUAUCGAACAGGAUUAGAUACCCGAGUAGUC